rnacentral:rRNA from 1 species
GACGAACGCUGGCGGCGUGCUUAACACAUGCAAGUCGAACGGAAAGGCCCUGCUUUUGUGGGGUGCUCGAGUGGCGAACGGGUGAGUAACACGUGAGUAACCUGCCCUUGACUUUGGGAUAACUUCAGGAAACUGGGGCUAAUACCGGAUAGGAGCUCCUGCUGCAUGGUGGGGGUUGGAAAGUUUCGGCGGUUGGGGAUGGACUCGCGGCUUAUCAGCUUGUUGGUGGGGUAGUGGCUUACCAAGGCUUUGACGGGUAGCCGGCCUGAGAGGGUGACCGGCCACAUUGGGACUGAGAUACGGCCCAGACUCCUACGGGAGGCAACAGGGGGGAAUAUUGCACAAUGGGCGGAAGCCUGAUGCAGCAACGCCGCGUGCGGGAUGACGGCCUUCGGGUUGUAAACCACUUUCGCCUGUGACGAAGCGUGAGUGACGGUAAUGGGUAAAGAAGCACCGGCUAACUACGUG